rnacentral:rRNA from 1 species
ACGGAAUAGAUACCCGGGUAGUCCACGCCCUAAACGAUGUCUACUAGUUGUUGGUGGAGUAAAAUCCAUGAGUAAACGCAGCUAAACGCGUGAAGUAGACCGCCUGGGGAGUACGGUCGCAAGAUUAAAACUCAAAUGAAUUGACGGGGGCCCGCACAAGCGGUGGAUUAUGUGGGUUAAUUCGAUGCAACGCGAAAAACCUUACCUGGCCUUGACAUGUAACGAACUUUCCAGAGAUGGAUUGGUGCUCGAAAGAGAACGUUAACACAGGUGCUGCAUGGCUGUCGUCAGCUCGUGUCGUGAGAUGUUGGGUUAAGUCCCGCAACGAGCGCAACCCUUGCCAUUAAUUGCCAUCAUUUAGUUGGGCACUUAAUGGGACUGCCGGUGACAAACCGGAGGAAGUGGGGAUGACGUCAAGUCCUCAUGGCCCUUAUGGCCAGGGCUUCACACGUAAUACAAUGGUCGGUACAGAGGGUUGCCAACCCGCGAGGGGUAGCCAAUCCCAGAAAGCCGAUCGUAGUCCGGAUUGUAGUCUGCAACUCGACUAC